UGGAAUAUAUAAUUUAUUAUAAGGAUAAGCUAGUAUGGGACAUGUGUGUGUGAGCUCAGUCUUUUUAUGCCUUGCCUGGACUGUGUUAACUUGAAACUUUGUUAACUUUUGUACCUUUUGGUGAUUUGAUGAGUAUAAACCGUCCUUCACGAGUGACAAGGUACGCGUGAACACUUAAAUGUGUCAUCAAUAUGGAUCGUCUCCUUCACGGUGCCCCUUUCCCCACCGAAACCUUCUCCCGUGUAACCAUGGGUUCCGCAUAGUCUAGGGCGCAGGCAGUGUUGGCAGCAAGUCCUCAGGUCCUGAACCCGAAGUCACCCACAGUUAACAUUAUCCCCAGGCCUCCUCCCAUUUCACAGGUAAGGCUAGCCGCUCCUCACCCCUACGUGGAGCGAGUUAGUGCUCAGGCAGGGCAAAAUAACUUUUAAAUAGUGUCUUAAGCAACACGAGGGAAAGGUGCCAGAGAGAAUGAUGAAAUCCAUUCGGAGUAUCAACUCCCCUGGGGAGGGCUGCGAUGCCCACCGACCCCACCCAGGCCGGCGCUGCUUCCCCUGAGUCUCCAAAUAUCACUGCCUUCGCGUCCCCCUCCAAACCCUCGCGUGGAUGAUUUAAAGCCGGCGCCCACGGACGUUCCUGGCUUGCCCAGCGCUGCGUCGCAGUUGUCAGGGAGACGGCGCCUCUGCGGGGAGAGCCACGCUGAGGGUUUCCACGGAAACCACUCCCGGGAGCGGCAGGUGCAGCCGGCUGAGCCGCCCAGGGCCGCGCCGGGGGCGGGGCGCUGGGGUGCAGACCCGCAGGGCCGUGGGGCGUGGCCGCCGGACUGCCAGGCAGCCCAGCCCUCGGCUAAAUACGUUAUUGUUAUUAUUAUUUUUUUUUUAAUAUAAAACACAACUUUGGGUGGAAGCUUUCGCUUUGCCAUUCCACUUGCAAAGCAGAGCCCUAAUUCCUCCGGGCCUGACACUGUUCAGGUCUCUCAGGGGAAGCAGCCAGCCUGCGCUUUGGAAAUGAUCCAGGUCCACGAGGCGCGGCAGCGGAGCACCCCGAAACGGGGAACUACACAGCAAAAUUGUGCAGCACACUGGUGAGCCUGGAGGUGAACAGACAGGUGCAGCAUCACAAACACCUACUACAACAACAGGGAAACCAAAAAGAUGUGAACUGUGCCCUACGAGAAAGGACAGGAAAACAAAAUGUAUGUACUCUCAGUGUAAGUGAUUCUUGUGUAUGGAACAUGCGGUUUUCACGUGUAAAGACUGCCUUGGGUAUGACAGUUGAAGCAAAGAGUAUUUUUGUUGUAGAAUUCUAUUGGUACUUUCAGUAUAGUUCACAUAUGAAUUUCAUUUUUUUUUUUUUAGGUUUUGUAAGCAAGUACAUAGCUGAUGUGAUGUUUAUUCUGAAUGCACAUAUAUAUUAAAAAUUUAAUACUUUAUUUUAUUGUUAUUUUAUGUUCCUGUUAACUACACAUUAUAUAAUGUAAUAAGAACCUAUUGACAAAGCAGCAAGACCAGUUAGAUGUCAAGUAUGUCCUACAAACAGGCCAGGAAAUCAAAACACAGUGCUGUCAGUAUAAGCAUUAUGUGUGUAUGCAAUAUGCUGUUGUCAUGUGUGAAAGUCUUAGGAAUUUAUUUGUGUUGUUCUUUUUUAAGUUUUGUAUGCCAAAUGCCAGUUGAUGUUGCAAAUUUUGAUGCUUUUU
rnacentral:lncRNA from 1 species